rnacentral:rRNA from 2 species
UGGGGAAUAUUGGACAAUGGGCGCAAGCCUGAUCCAGCCAUGCCGCGUGUGUGAAGAAGGCCUUAUGGUUGUAAAGCACUUUAAGCGAGGAGGAGGCUACUUUAGAUAAUACCUAGAGAUAGUGGACGUUACUCGCAGAAUAAGCACCGGCUAACUCUGUGCCAGCAGCCGCGGUAAUACAGAGGGUGCAAGCGUUAAUCGGAUUUACUGGGCGUAAAGCGCGCGUAGGCGGCUAAUUAAGUCAAAUGU